rnacentral:lncRNA from 1 species
GCAGGGAGUACUUCCAUCACAUCCUUAGUUCCUUAACACGUGAAUGUACCUAAUGUUGGACCUCUACAUAAAUGUUCUGUGACUUGUAGAAAUAUAGAGAUAAACUCAAAGUCAUAUAGAUAGUUAAACGAACUUCUUCAGCAUGAUGGCAGAAACAAUGGGUUUUACAUGAAGCCUAAAUAGAUAUGUGUAUCACUCAUCAGCAGUGAAACAUAACAGUCAAGGGCUCAAGGCCCUGAAGUCCCAGCAAACAGGCAUGUGUACAUGUAGGAUAUUGUUUCUAAAAUUCUUAAAAUUUUCUUUACACUAACCGAGCCUGGUGUACAAUGUUAUCAGAACAGGAAACUGGGCAUGGUGUACAACGUUAUGAUUGCAGGGAACAUCGUAGCAGCAAGUUUGGUCACUCCAUUGGACAUCUACUCAAAUGUAAGAAUUUAAAUAACAAGCUCGAAAUCAUAUGAAAACAGAGAAGCUGCUUCAGCAUUAUUAAGUGACAAGAUUUUACUACAAAGUCUACAUUAAUAUCGGCACUAGCAGGCAACAAGAAAAUUAUGACCCAACCUCCUCAAGUCUUUUGCUGUCAAUAGAUAGCCAUAUAUGUACUCUACAAAACAAUUUCUGGAAUUCCCAAGAUAUUCUUCACAUUAUCGAUAACGAUCUAAAGCAUAACUGCUACAGAAAACACCUCGGCAGCAAAUCUUGGCACGCUCUUGGAACUAGAGGGCAAGCCCUCUUCCAAAACCCUAAGUUUGAAGAAAUUACAACACACAGCC